AAGUCGUAACAAGGUUUCCGUAGGUGAACCUGCGGAAGGAUCAUUAAUGAAAUGAUGUUUUUUGGGGUUUUCCCUGAAAAAUAAUUCACCUUUUGUGCACUGUUAUUAGAUAUACUUUGGUUAGAGCUUUGAUUUCAUAUAUUGGAAUCAACUUCUCGCUGACUCUAUCCUUUCUGAGGACAGUUGGCUAUGAAGCGGCCUACCAAGGUUUUUUAUCAAACACAUUUAAUCCAACUGACCUAAAACAAAAUAAUUAAUAUUAAAUCAUAACUUUCAACAACGGAUCUCUUGGCUCUC
rnacentral:misc_RNA from 1 species